rnacentral:rRNA from 1 species
UACGGAGGGUGCAAGCGUUAUCCGGAUUCACUGGGUUUAAAGGGUGCGUAGGUGGCUUUGUAAGUCAGUGGUGAAAUCUCGGAGCUUAACUCCGAAACUGCCACUGAUACUGCUUAGCUUGAAUCAAGUAGAGGUGGAUGGAAUAUUACAUGUAGCGGUGAAAUGCUUAGAUAUGUAAUAGAACACCGAUUGCGAAGGCAGUUCACUAUGCUUGUAUUGACACUGAGGCACGAAAGCGUGGGGAUCAAACAGG